CGCGAGGUUGAAUCUAUAAAUUGGUGGCUGAGUUAAUUGAUGGUUAAGAAGCAAAUGAGAGUAGUGGUAGUAUAAGAUAGGAAAUUUGUGUGUGAUUAUAAGAUCAGCAAAUCAUGGAUUUGAGUGCUAUAUUUAGAGACAUGCUUGCAGAUCUGGAGGCUGAGGAAGCAGCCCAAAAGUCUUACACCAACCGUAGGGAUGGUUCUCAGAACAUCACUGGCAGAAAGAGCAACAAUGGUGUAAAAUCAGAUAAAAGUAUUGGAUUCACCGGAGACGGAAACGGAAAUUAUUAUACAUUAUUUAAAAUAAAAUAAUAUUUGUAUUUGUAAAAGAAAAUAAUAAAAGAUAGUAUUAAAUGAAUGUGAAAAUUUUAUGUUUCUCGGAGUAUUCUUACUUUUUAAAGAUUAUCACAUAAAAGCCUGCAGCUGUAGUAAGUGUAUUCCUAAUAAUUACUUCAUAGAGGGAUGGUAGACAUCAUCAUGCUUCACAAAUUUCCUCUGCUUGAAUAUAGUUAUCACCCUCUUACAAAUAUACUUUUCUGUAUAAAGUUAAUUAAUCGAGAUCCUCUUUUUACUUAUGAAUUAUAAUUGUAAAUAUGUAAUCUAGCGUUUCCUUGACUGAUACCGGCAAUCAUCCUAAAUGUAACAAUUUCUAUAGUAUUUGUUUUUUAAGUUCGACGUGUUGAAUAAGAGGAGAUUGUUUCCAUUGUUUUAUGAAACAAAUUUGCCAUUAUGAUCUUACUCUUUACACACCUCACCCGUCUCAACUUCUUUUCUUAUUGAAUUGCCUUAACGUACUCACUAACUUCGCUUAAUUUAUGGCAACAACUAAAGGAAUCCAAAUCUUAACGUUUAUACGGAGAUUAUUUAACUAACAACUUGGAUUCAAGGUAAGAGUUUCACAAAAAUAUAAUGUGCGUCAUGCAUGCAAUACCAGCCAUAUAUUCUGUAUCAGCACAAGUUCUGCUUCAACCUGAAGUCUUUGACUUGAGAAUAUAUCUGUUGUCACGUGUUGCAAGGGCAUUGCAUUGCCUAUCCACACAAGUUGUUCUCCUAGCAAUUUGUGUUCAGCUUCUUUGCGUUACGUAAUAUCACUAUCGUCAUGCAAGCUAUAAUACCCACUCAUGAUAAGACGGACGGACCAAACGAAACCUAACUACCUUUAAUAAUUUAGAUAAAUGCAAGGAGGAAGUUGGAAUCCAAUUCAAUUAGAAUCUUUCUUUUCAAUUGUCGUGAGUGAUGCGAUUUAUAGAUAGAUCAGAAUUUUGAGCCAAAUUCACAGUACCCGGAAAAAAAAAUCUCAGAUUGCCUGAGCCUGUUC
rnacentral:sRNA from 1 species